AGUAACGGCGAGUGAAGCGGCAACAGCUCAGAUUUGAAAUCCGGCUUCGGCCCGAGUUGUAAUCUGCAGAGGAACGUUCGGCGGAGGUGCUGGUCCAAGUCUCCUGGAACGGAGCGUCAGAGAGGGUGAGAAUCCCGUACCUGCCGGUGACCGAUGCCAUGUGAACGUCCUUCGACGAGUCGAGUUGUUUGGGAAUGCAGCUCAAAACGGGUGGUAAAUUCCAUCUAAAGCUAAAUACUGGCCAGAGACCGAUAGCGCACAAGUAGAGUGAUCGAAAGAUGAAAAGCACUUUGGAAAGAGGGUUAAAAAGUACGUGAAAUUGUUGAAAGGGAAGCGCUUACGAUCAGCUUCGGCCGCGGUUGCUCAGCCGGUCAUUUGACCGGUGCACUCUUCCGCGGUCCUGCCAGCAUCGGUUUGAACGGACGGACAAAGAUCAGGGGAAUGUGGCCUUCUUCGGGAGGUGUUAUAGCCCCAGGUACAAUACGUCCAGUUCGGACCGAGGAUCGCGCAUCUGCUCGGAUGCUGGCUUAAUGGUCGUUAGCGGCCCGUCUUGAAACACGGACCAAGGAGUCUACCAGCUGUGCGAGUGUUAGGGUGUCAAACCCUCAUCGCGUAAUGAAAGUGAACGGAGGUGGGAGCUUCGGCGCACCAUCGACCGAUCCGGAGGUUCUCCGAAGGAUUUGAGUAAGAGCAUAGCUGGUGGGACCCGAAAGAUGGUGAACUAUGCGUGAAUAGGGUGAAGCCAGAGGAAACUCUGGUGGAGGCUCGCAGCGGUUCUGACGUGCAAAUCGAUCGUCAAAUUUGCGUAUAGGGGCGAAAGACUUAUCGAACCAUCUAGUAGCUG
rnacentral:rRNA from 1 species